GUUUGACCGAUGCAGUAACAUCCAUACACUAAUUUUUAUUACUAAAAUAUAUAUAUUAAUAAUGCCCUGUUUAUUAUAUUUUAUACAUGAACAAGUAAAUCUGAGUAUAUAGUUUUUAUUAUUCCUUAACUUGCCCUGGUUGUGCAUACAAAAAUGACAUAAAAAUAUGAUUAAAUAUGACCAUGGAAAAAUGUCCCAAAAUGGACGCCAUCAAAACACCCUUUUUUUAUUUUAAAACUCUUGUAAAUUUCUUUCUUCUCCACUUAUCAUCCUUAAAUUAUCUUUACUAUCUAUUCAACAUUAGUAGAAAAGAAUAACACAUCAGAUUUGCCAAUAUCUCCUUUAUUUUCUUCACAAAUUAUCAUCAAAGUCCAAUGGUACUGAAUUGCUGAUUAACUGAGAAUGACCCAUAUCAAAUUUU
rnacentral:lncRNA from 1 species